UCCGUAGGUGAACCUGCGGAAGGAUCAUUAGUGAAUUGAAUAUGUUAGCGGACCUCUUCGGAGUCCCUAGCAUCAAAUCAUAUCCAUAACACCUGUGAACUGUAAGGCUGUCUUGAAAACGAGAGUGAUUAGAGCGCCUGCCCAUUUUAUACAAACAUUAAAGUAACAAACGUAGUCUUAUUAUAAUCUAAUAAAACUUUCAACAACGGAUCUCUUGGCUCUCGCAUCGAUGAAGAACGCAGCGAAAUGCGAUAAGUAAUGUGAAUUGCAGAAUUCAGUGAAUCAUCGAAUCUUUGAACGCACCUUGCGCUCUUUGGUAUUCCGAAGAGCAUGCCUGUUUGAGUGUCAUGAAAAUAUCAACCUUGACUUGGGUUUAGUGCUCUUGUCUUGGCUUGGAUUUGGCUGUUUGCCGCUCGAAAGAGUCGGCUCAGCUUAAAAGUAUUAGCUGGAUCUGUCUUUGAGACUUGGUUUGACUUGGCGUAAUAAGUUAUUUCGCUGAGGACAAUCUUCGGAUUGGCCGAGUUUCUGGGACGCUUGUCCGCUUUCUAAUACAAGUUCUAGCUUGCUAGACAUGACUUUUUUAUUAUCUGGCCUCAAAUCAGGUAGGACUACCCGCUGAACUUAAGCAUAUCAAUAAGCGGAGGAAAAGAAACUAACAAGGAUUCCCCUAGUAACGGCGAGUGAAGCGGGAAGAGCUCAAAUUUGAAAUCUGGUGGCCUCAGGCUAUCCGAGUUGUAAUCUAUAGAAACAUUUUCCGCGUUGGCCCAUGUACAAGUCUCUUGGAAUAGAGCGUCAUAGAGGGUGAGAAUCCCGUCCUUGACAUGGACUACCAGUGCUUUGUGAUAUGUUUUCAACGAGUCGAGUUGUUUGGGAAUGCAGCUCAAAAUGGGUGGUAAAUUCCAUCUAAAGCUAAAUAUUGGCGAGAGACCGAUAGCGAACAAGUACCGUGAGGGAAAGAUGAAAAGCACUUUGGAAAGAGAGUUAAACAGUAUGUGAAAUUGUUGAAAGGGAAACGCUUGAAGU
rnacentral:sRNA from 1 species